rnacentral:tRNA from 1 species
GCAGUGGUAAUUCAGCGGUAGAAUUCUCCACCUUCCAUGCUGGAGACCUAGGUUCAACUCCCAGUCAAUGCG